rnacentral:rRNA from 1 species
GUAUGCAACCUACCUUAAUCAGGGGGAUAGCCCGAAGGAAUUCGGAUUAACACCGCAUAAAAACACAGGAUAGCAUUAUCCAAUGUUCAAAUAUUUAUAGGAUUAAGAUGGGCAUGCGUGUCAUUAGCUAGUUGGCGGGGUAACGGCCCACCAAGGCGACGAUGACUAGGGGAUCUGAGAGGAUGACCCCCCACACUGGUACUGAGACACGGACCAGACUCCUACGGGAGGCAGCAGUAAGGAAUAUUGGUCAAUGGAGGGAACUCUGAACCAGCCAUGCCGCGUGCAGGAAGACGGCCCUCUGGGUUGUAAACUGCUUUUAUUCGGGAAUAAACCUACUUACGUGUAAGUAGCUGAAUGUACCGAAGGAAUAAGGAUCGGCUAACUCCGUGCCAGCAGCCGCGGUAAUACGGAGGAUCCAAGCGUUAUCCGGAUUUAUUGGGUUUAAAGGGUGCGUAGGCGGCCUAUUAAGUCAGGGGUGAAAGACGGUAGCUCAACUAUCGCAGUGCCCUUGAUACUGAUGGGCUUGAAUGGACUAGAGGUAGGCGGAAUGUGACAAGUAGCGGUGAAAUGCAUAGAUAUGUCACAGAACACCGAUUGCGAAGGCAGCUUACUAUGGUCAUAUUGACGCUGAGGCACGAAAGCGUGGGGAUCAAACAGGAUUAGAUACCCUGGUAGUCCACGCCCUAAACGAUGAAUACUUGCUGUUAGCGAUAUACAGUUAGCGGCUAAGCGAAAGCGUU